GCAAGUCGAACGGCAGCACGGACUUCGGUCUGGUGGCGAGUGGCGAACGGGUGAGUAAUAUAUCGGAACAUACCCUAGAGUGGGGGAUAACGUAGCGAAAGUUACGCUAAUACCGCAUACGCACUAAGGUGGAAAGUGGGGGAUCGCAAGACCUCAUGCUCAUGGAGUGGCCGAUAUCUGAUUAGCUAGUUGGUGAGGUAAAGGCUCACCAAGGCGACGAUCAGUAGCUGGUUUGAGAGAACGACCAGCCACGCUGGAACUGAGACACGGUCCAGACUCCUACGGGAGGCAGCAGUGGGGAAUUUUGGACAAUGGGCGCAAGCCUGAUCCAGCAAUGCCGCGUGAGUGAAGAAGGCCUUCGGGUUGUAAAGCUCUUUUGUCAGGGAAGAAACGGUAGUCUCUAAUACAGAUUACUAAUGACGGUACCUGAAGAAUAAGCACCGGCUAACUACGUGCCAGCAGCCGCGGUAAUACGUAGGGUGCAAGCGUCAAUCGGAAUUACUGGGCGUAAAGCGUGCGCAGGCGGUUAUAUAGGUCAGAUGUGAAAUCCCCGGGCUCAACCUGGGAACUGCAUUUGAGACUGUAUGGCUAGAGUGUGUCAGAGGGGGGUAGAAUUCCACGUGUAGCAGUGAAAUGCGUAGAUAUGUGGAGGAAUACCGAUGGCGAAGGCAGCCCCCUGGGAUAACACUGACGCUCAUGCACGAAAGCGUGGGGAGCAAACAGGAUUAGAUACCCUGGUAGUCCACGCCCUAAACGAUGUCUACUAGUUGUCGGGAUUUAAUUAUCUUGGUAACGCAGCUAACGCGUGAAGUAGACCGCCUGGGGAGUACGGUCGCAAGAUUAAAACUCAAAGGAAUUGACGGGGACCCGCACAAGCGGUGGAUGAUGUGGAUUAAUUCGA
rnacentral:rRNA from 1 species